AGGAUAAGUACAAAGAGGAAUAUGUGAUAAAAAUCUCUUUAAAAGCAGAUUGUCUUUAGCUAAUGAAACCUGUUUAAAUGAUUUUAGGACCAAGGGAACACGUCUGGUGGUGAUGAGGCACACAUGAAAGUGGUCCACUGCGGAAAGAGGAGGACUCCCCCAGGACCCCAGCACCAGCAAGGCUUCCCUGGGACACUGGACUGCAAAGAGAAAGCAUGGCAAAGAAAAAGGAUGGGUGCUCCUCAGAAAUGUGUAACACAAAACGCUCCUCUUCAACAAGGCUUUAGCUACCAAGCACUGGCAACCCAUGCCUGAUGCUUGUUGCCCAUCAGGCACACACAGCUCUUCAUGCCUCUGUGCUAAAUCACAUCCUGGGCAGCAUCGGCAGGACACAGGAGGGGCAGAAGUGCUCCCUCCUGGCCAAAAUCCCAGGGGUCUACUGCCAACCUGACCUCAGCCCAGCAGGUACUGCGUCACCAUCAGCACCAAGAUGUUCCCUCUCCACCUCAGGCACAUCCACCCCACUGCCAAGCAUGACCAUGAUGAGCACAGGCAUAACCGAGCUGCUGGGCACGGAGCCUGAGUUUCCUUUAGCCGGGAGGUGCCCAGACCCCCGGCACGCUUUGCCAGCCCCCUUUGAAGCCUAUGCUCCAGCAGCACCUGGUUUUGCAGCCCGCUCUGGACUCCAAGUGCCCUGGGUGGUGCAGCAGGAAGGGUAAUGCUGCGCUCUGGCUGCACGUGGAGAUGCCCCGCGUAGGAGAUGAAGGGCUGCAGAUGAUUAGAGAAGCACAGGCAGGGGCGAUGAACAGCCAUUUGGCCUGCGGUGAGCCUGUGAAAUGAGCACAGUUUGUAUUACAAAGACACCAGGGAGCAGCAGGAAGGCUGCAGUAGGUGGGAGGGAGUAUCUGCCUGUGUCAGGGGCCACUUCAUUUUUCACCUGCUAGAUGGCUUUUCUAUUACAUCUCCAGCCUGGCAUGGAAAUUACGCCUGUUCUCUGCCUCCGGUUCAAUGCCAAAUUGGAGGAAAUAUAUGGCUGCCCUACUUCCACGCACUUUUCUGCCAGGAGAUGUGAACAUCAGUUACAAAACUGCUUGGCACUGCCAGCACCUGGUGGGAGCGGUACCCUCCGGUGCUCAGCAUAAUGCUGAUGUUUGGGGCCAGACUCAUCUCUGCGCCAUCGGCAUCGAGAGCAUCUGUGCUCCUGAAGACACCCCGCGGUACGCAAACGAGAAAUAACGCCAUGAUUGCCCUCUCCUUUGCCCGUAACGACAGACUUCUAAGUCAUGAGAGCUUUCAGAUGACUGAGAAACCCACAUCGAGGGCAGUGGCCGGGCAGGGAGCUGCUCUUCCAGCAACCCCAGGACCGCAGUGCACGGGCCAUGCACAAAACGGGAGGCACGAAAUUCGUGUGCCUGACCCAGCUCCUGCCCUUGUAGAAGGAGGCUGCUUUUGCACCUGCAGAAAGCUACUGAUGCCAGCAAAGUCCCUCGUGUGACCUCCAGUGACAGAGUGACCUCAGAGGAAGGUUUGGUCUCCGAUGCUUCCCCACCAAGAAGAGCACGUACACGUGUGCAUACAGCCUGCGUGCUGCCCGUGCAUGCGUGCACCGCUGGGUAGUAAAAGCCUGUGCCCUUGGACCAUACGUUGCUGUUUUGCAGCCUGACCAGCCAACGCAAAAAUAACAAAAUGGGGUGUUUUCUGCCAGCAAAGCUCCUAUUUGGUUUCCUUCUGGGCUCGGUGUUUGAAUUAGGUGGAAGCAGAGCUACCCCGGGUCUGGAUGCUUAGCUGCUAAAUGCUGUUUCACUGCCAGGAGUAAUGGUCGUGGUUCAAAGCACUCUUUGAAGCCUCCUGUUCUGCCCUUGCUGGUGGAGGAACGGUUCUGGGUCUCUCCAGUAGGUCUCAGUCCCCGUCAUGGCCAGUGCUGUAAUUAGAGGUGUAAUUAGAGCCCCAAGGAAACAGCCUCGCUCCGCUCCUCCCCAGAUGCAGACUCAUCUCCCCAGGGUGCAGAUGGGGGAGGACUCGUGUGAUGGGGAGGGAGGGCUGGGUGUCUUCAUCCUGAGAAUUAGGCAGAAGUGCUUACGGCAGGCAGAAACGUAGAGUCAUUACUAGUCUAGGUCCACUACAGCAACUCCUACCUAUUCUCCCUCCGCAUUCAUCAGAUUGACACAGGCUGUCUUAAGGCCGGUACGUGGCAAAUACCUGCUUUAUCUCCUGAGCCCAGUCUCUCCAACACCAGUGUGGCGGCUGGAUUGUGCUCUUCAUGUAGAGUGCUGCGGGACCAGACCAGCUCUGCGUGUGGCCAGGGAGGUGACAUGAGUGGAGGGCAGCACCAGGCAUGCUUUCACGUCCUUUGCCAUCCGCUUUUUACUAAAACAUUCCGUUAUUACUCACCAUGUGGCCAAAGCCUCGGUGUAGCUUUGGGGAGAAGCCUGGCCAUGGAAAAUUCAGGCAACAGGGUCCCAGGGCUGCUCCUGUUUUCCCCAGGGUAUAUUGGGAAUAACUCUGUUUACAAAUCCAGGUUUGUUCCUGCAUGACCAAGAGCUGGGUCUGGCCUUGCCCUCCGUUGCUCCAUGGGGCAGAAAGCAGCACUGUUUAUUUGCCCUUUUGCAGAAAAUACGCUCCAGAAAAAGGCAGCCUCUCCCUUCCCCCAUGCUGACUCACCUUCAAAGCCAAACCCUGGGCUUUUUUCCACCACAAGGCUGCGGAGAGCUGACAGCUUGAAAACUCGAGGAAGUUUGCUGCUCAUUUUGGGGAUUUUGAAGUCUUGUUUCAGUCCAGUGGGCUGACAGAGAUGCUCAGGUAUCGCUUACUUGGGAUCCAUUUAUCUACAAAGGCAAUCAAGCUAUUCCCACCAGCUGCCGCGUGAAGGCCAAGGGGACUGGAGAUACAUAUGCGGGACCUGCUCUUUGAUUAGUCUGGGACUGAGCUUCUGCCUCACUCCACUUGGUGCAUUCAUAAUCAGGACAGAGAUGCUCAAGUCGGUAAACCCGUGCGUGCUCCUCCAGUCUCUUACAUGUGGUACGUGCCCGUGCUGUGGGGGUCAGCUCACGGCUUCGCUGUGCCAGAUCCUCUCUGCAAACUUGCCUCUUGCCUUUUUCUGCCUGGUCUUCGUGACUGCUCGUCCCACGCUGGCCCCAAGCCUGGUGGAGGUGAGGGCAGGGGCAGCCAUGCCCAAGGCAAGAGGGGAAAUGGGACAGGCGCUGAUGGGGACAGCAACAGGGAGGGCUGCCUUCCCCAAAACAGCCCCCCGGCAUUGCCAUGUAUCAGGUAAAGCAAGCGCUGGCACUACAGGCAAGUUCUUUUCUUCCUGGAAAUCCAGGCACAGGGGGCUUGCUGUAAAGGGUCUUUGUAAUAUGUUGCUGUUCUCUGUGUUACCGUCAUUACUGCAGAGCCUGCUCUUAAAGAAAACUCUUGGGCAUCAUCACGCCAGGCCCCUGCAUUGUCUCCCCUCUCCGUGAGGUCACUUUGUUAAUGACUUCGUUGAGCCAUACCUCUGCGUGGCUCAAUUUGCCAUUUUCUACCACACUAUUGCAGUGACACGGAGCUCAGCUCUGGGACAGAGCCACCCAGGCGCGACACCACAUCUUGCUGAAAUGCAGCUCUUUGGCAGCUCGCUGGCCAAAGUGCAACCUUCAACGUAUUUGCUCACACCAAGGCUGCAACUCGAGGCUGCAGAGCCAGAAAGGCAGUAGAGUAAUGCAAUCAGAAAAGCAGGAGCUAUCACAUUCUGUUAUCGCGGAAGGAGUUACCUACCCGCACCACACCUAAAAGGCAAACAAACGCGUGCACCUCCCGUGCCCAGUGCACAAACAAAUCCACCCUAUUCAUAAACGUGCACUGAAAGCAUCCUCUGAUAAAAGAACGCUCAAUUUAUAGCUGUAACCUACCGAUGUGGCUCUGCAAAUAUUGGUUCUCACAACCAUUUUUCUUUCAUCUUAACAAAAUGUGAUUGCUUUUUAAUUGAGAAACGGUCUCACUGGGGAACGGCCAAACCGCAGCUGUAACCACCAGGGAUGUCGGAAUACUCCCUGCAGUCAGCAGUGGUGUGAGAAGUGCAAACUCUGAGAAACCUCACACAUUGGUAGCAUUGUCUUCCUCAUCCUUUGAGCAGGACAGAAAGAAUAGGAUAGGGGAAAAGUUGGCUACCCAGUGCCUACAUACCCAAUGGCUGCAUCCCGCUGUGAGUCACGCUGAUGCUGCAGGUGGGGACGAGCACCUUGCUGUCGCAUGGAGCACAGUGCCACCACGCAGCAUUUCUCCUCCUUCUGCACGUUGCCUUGCGAAUGCUCGUUCUUGACAUUGCUGUUUCCCAAGCCUUUUCCUGACACCCUGCAGACACAGGACCUCACGCUGAAGCAGUCUAGACAAAUCUGUGAAGACUUUGGGAAGCGCUUGGGUGCUACCACAAAACGUUACGCAGAGAAGUUAAUCUGGAAAUUGCAGCCCAUUUCCUCCACGGCGCAGUUUGAAUCACGGCUUGUAAAUAAGGCAUGAGACACGCUCUGAAUAAUGAGGAGAAAUGAUGAAAAGUAUGAAAUAGCUGAUCAUGAGAUCACCAUUUAUUUUGGACAGGGAAUGUAGGAGAGGUUUCCAGGGAAAAAUUAGUAUGCAAGUACAUAGGUUCAAGAUGCAAGAUUGUGUCAUAAUCCAUAUGGAAAUGGAAAUCAAAUGGAUAUUGCCCAGACAACCCUAAGUCUAACCAUUCUUAUACUCCAAGAGUUUAACUUGGUCGUUUUAAAAGCCUCUUACACUCAAAGGAUCAAGGCCUCACUUUGUUAAUCACUGGUAUGGAAAUGCUCCCAGUGCGGAAAAGGAAUCCAGUGACCAAUAAAACAGCAUUUCAUGUUUUUGUUAUUUUAUUGAAGUUUGAAUUGCCUGUGUAUUGAAGUGUGGGGUUUCAUCCGUUUCUUUACUUAAUAGAAAAACAGCUUUGCUGAGCAAGAAAGAAAAAAAAAUCCCAGGAAAAAAAAAAAGAGUCACAUAAAAACUGUUCUUUGCUUUUGGUGUAUUCAGCACUUUUCCUGAGUAAAGUUCACAGAACACUCGCAUGAAUACAGCAUUUUUUUCUGUUUAAUUAGAUUGAGCUCGGAGAGAGGGAAAACCAAAUAAAUCUUUAAGUGGGGGCAGGGAGGGAUGGGAGAAAAUAUGUGAAGUAAAAAUGAGAAAUAGGUAAGACUCUCCCUGAAAUUUCCUAAGGUAGGGUGUUCUGUAACGUUGGGUUAUUUCCCCGGCCAUGCAGAUUAAAGGCAGAAGGUGCCCGAUCUCGUUUCUGACACAGCUCAUAGGAUUUCAUCCAGCUGGUCCUACUUUACACCACACCUUGAAGUGGUGAACUCACCGUGGAUGAGCUCUGCUCCAGUUGUCCAGAGCUGGUGGGAUGGGACGGAUCCUGGGGCAGGCAGCAGGAUUUCUGUGCCUUCCCAGCGGCUUGGAUCCAUUUCACGUCACCACCAGAGGAUCCUUGUUUCACUCCUUCCUCAGCAGUGAAUUUAGAAAAGGCAAAUUCCUUUCUGUUGGUGGAAGCUCCGGGUCCCCGUGGCAGGCUUGGGGUUGCCCAUUAAGGAUACCCGCAGAUUUCAGUGCCGUGCUGGGAAAGAUCUGACGGGUGCCGGACUCAAUCCCUUGGUGCUGGAGGCCCCAUCCCAGCUGCAGACAGGCCAGCUACCCAUGUCUUUACAUGCACUUGAGGUGGCGUUGGCAAAGCUGGCUCAGGUAUACCUUUUGCUCCUCUAGGCUAGCAGUGAGAAGGAGCAGCCUGCUGCGAGUAGCCUUUCUCUGUGUGGUCUCACAGCUUGCCCUCGCCCAGCAGGCACAUCAGGGAGAGCCGGAGAGCGGCAGCCCACGGCGCAGUCUGUAGGCUGGGUGCUAAGUCAUCCUCCCUCCCGUGUUUCUGUUUUGCCGAUCCUAUUUCAGGGCUGUUGACUUGUGCAGGAAGUUAACCACAGAGUCAACAUGAGAGCUGGUGGAAAGAAACGUUCGCAUCAGUGUGCUCCUUUGUAGGGCUGAGAAAGGUGAUAAAGACUCUAGCGACAGCAAGAAUUGCAGCAGUGUUGGCAAACCCUGCCAGUCAGCUGUCAGCUUUGGCCCUGAGGGAGCAAGGGUGACAGUGCCACUCGCUUGAGUGCUCUGCACCUUUUAGUUACUGCCUGGGAAUGAGCUGGUAGCUCUUGCAACCUGGCGUCCUCAUUGCAAUGAUCAGAAGCUGCCCGUGUGCAGGUCGUGUUGGUAAUCCCGGGAGAGAAAUCAGAAACUCAGCUGGAAUGAAAACUGCUCUCAUUCGCAAGGGCAGGUCCUCCGGAGAGGGAUGGAAGAACACCGGCCGCACGCUGUGAUCUGACACAGCUAGCACCACUGCUGCCCUUGCUGGACGUGAGCCGGGGUGGAGGAGCAAGUCAGGCUGCGGGCUUGCUAAUCCAGUGCCUCUCAAAAGCACUAUAAAAACAGGCUGGGAGAUACGUUAUUUACAAAUGAGUUAUUAUUUUUAACACCAGGGAGAAAAGAAGUGCAGAAGGCUGUGGCAGCACUCUUCACACUUGUUCAUUUACCCAGGCUUCCCCCGGGGAGCCCCGCAGCCAACACAGGCUAGUAGGAAAGGUUUGCAGAAGGAGAGCCAGUUUACACAACUCGCUUAUGGAAAGAAGGGCUUUCGGGGCACUCUGCAGCACGAAACGUGUUGUUCUUCAGCACGGGGCGAGCUAUCUCAGGCAAAUGCUACCUAUUCAACAAGGAGAUGAAGAGGAGCAGAUGGAAAGAUGAAUUUCCUUUUCGAGGAUCCAAGAGAGUGGGCUGAUGCUGUGGCAAGCGGAGAUGAAGGCUGAGUUGGAGAGUGAGGAUCUGGCUGCAGAUCUAAAAUUUGUCGGGUGGAGGGGGA